AAUUAGAGUAUAAUUUAGAUUAAAAUAAUUGAUUACGAAUAUUGUGUAGAAUAAAUUGUUAUGUGAUUUAUGUGAAUAUUGUGAUGAUGUAGCUGUUACCGUUCAGUUUUACUACCAUUUACUCUCUAAAAACUACCAUUUACUCUCUAAAAUAGACAUAUCAUUAUUUAUCCUUCUGAUUUCAAAUUCGAGCAUGCAUAAUCUUAUUCAGAAAAAUUUCUGCGGAAGUUCCUGCCUUUGAAUUAAAGGAAAUUCAUCGAUAAAUAAUGCUAUGCCCACUUCCAUAGGCAAAUUAGAGUGUAAUUUAGAUUAAAAUAAUUGAUUACGAAUAUUGUGUGGAAUAAAUUGUUAUGUGAUUUAUGUGAAUAUUGUGAUAAUGUCGCUGUUACCGUCCAAUUACGUACCAUUAUUUAUCUUUCUGAUUUCAAAUUCGAGCAUGCAUAAUCUUAUUCAGAAAAUAUUUCUGCGGAAGUUCCUGUCUUUGAAUUAAAGGAAAUUCGUCGACAAGUCUAAGAAUUUAGAUUUA
rnacentral:lncRNA from 1 species